AAGAUGGAGCUCAGACGACCCUAGCGAAGGUUGCGGUAGACUCGGCGCGGGAGGACCCGGGCAAGCACCGGCGGCUGGGGAGGCUGCCAUUAGCUGCCUUCAUUCUGCCGAAUGGUGAGUAGCUGUGCCAAUGUCGCGCUGGGAGAGGCGCGGGGUGGCCACGAGGGUGGGGAACGCUGUGUGUGCUGACCCGGUCUUCACUUUCCACCCGUGAGGGGGAAGACCUGGCUGAAUUGAUUGAGUUGAAGAAUCACUGCCAAUUUACAAAUUGCUACGUUUAAUUUUCCGAUGCUUGGUUUUUAUGCAGAAACUUUCAGAGAUCUUUGUAGUAUUUCAAGGUGUCUUUGUCUUUGAUGGGGAUUUAUUAACUGAGAAAUAAUACCAGGAAGAAGAAACAGGACUUGAAUCCUGGGAUCCUGAUCUAAACCGCUAAAUCUGUAUUUUACUUUCGAGGUUAAUUUUUAAGUCAAGAUUUAUGGAAUUUUGCACAUGCAGCAUUUUCCAAAUCAUUGUAUAUAUACAACAGGUACCCAAGAUUUGGUAAGACAUUGUUCCAGUGCUGUCACAGCUAACUAAUACGAAUGGUGACCCAAGACAGGCUGAUUUAUUAUCAGGUUAUUUCUGAGUUUUGGUUUAUUGCUACUACUGUUUUAUCUUUUGAAAUAGGGUCUUGGAGUACAUCCAGGAACUCACAACCCUCCGGCCUCAGCUUCCCAAUAGUAGAGGUAUCACCACAGGUUGCAGACUUUUUUCCUGUCACCAGGAAGUAUGUUUUUAAAGAGCCCAAUCUAGUAAAAACGAAUCCACCAUUCUACACUGAUAUUCAUCCUAUGUGUACCAUGCCUGCUCAGGCCAGAAAAGGGCAUUAGAUCACCCUAGGCCUGAAGUUACAGCUGUGUGUGAGCUUUGACGUGGGUGCUAGGGCUCGAAUCUUUCAUCAUGUGUCCACAUGCCUGCAAUGCCUAUGAAGGGUGAAGAGGAUUCCAGUCCCCUGGAACCCUUGUUCUUUGCAAUAGUGUUCUCUCAAAACUACUGAGCCCUUUCUAACCCUUGACACCUAAUCAUCUUUACAAAGUGGCUAUUACACUUGAAAUACAACUUAUAGUUCCACCAGCAGAUGUCACAGCUUUCCUGAAUGCUUCCAAGUGAAACUAAUUACCUGUGUACCUAAUGACAUCCCUGUUAUCUUAGCUUCCACCUCAUGUUUUUGUUGUUUACUGGAUGUUGGCUUUCUCUCAUGAUGUGAGGCUCUGUCUGUUGCAUCACCCCUCCACCCCACUUGUCUAGCACAAAUUCUUUGGAUUUUUGUUUUCCUGUAAUAAAUUUUCAUGUAGCUCUGCUGGCCUCAAAUUCCAGUAUUAUCAAGGACAGCCCUGAGCCCACCCCCCAACUGUUUCAACUACAGUCAUGUCACCAUGUCUGAAUUAAGUCAUUUUUUUAAUGUUUCAUGUAUGUAGUAAUUGCUUAGAAAAUCAAGAUUGUGGAGUGUCUUAGAAACUUAUGCGCUGCUUUUCUUGUUCAGGUUUCUGGUAUGCUGUAUUGGGAGAGGGAAAUCUUAUAUGCUAUAUAUACAUUAAGUUAAUCUACAUCUCUUACAUAAUUAUGCAUCUCAAAAGACUUUUUCUAGAUAUACUUUUUAAAUUGGGAUUGUUAUAUUUUUUUUUAGGUCCAAGAUGGAAAGUCAUAAACCAAGUACUAGCAAAGAUGAUUUAAUACUUAAUAUCAUAUCC
rnacentral:lncRNA from 1 species